UUCCUCCCCACCGAUUUCAGCGUGUCCACAUC
rnacentral:piRNA from 1 species